UCUUCUUCUCCCUUCCCUUUCCUUCCCUCUCCCCGGCCGCCUGUCUGUGUGUCCCCCCACGGGUUCCCCCUGGGCUUUCAUUCAAUCGUGUUUAUUGAGCGCUUACUGUGUGAGGAGCACUGUACUAGGCACUUGGAAAGUACAAUACGGCAAUGAAGACAGACAAUCCCUGCCCACAAAGGGCUCACGGUUCAGGAGCUGGGAGGUGGAGACAGACAUCAAUACAGAUAAACAGGCAACAGUAUAAAGAAAUAGAAUUAUAGAGAUAGCCAUAAGUGCUGUGGAGCAGGGGGAAGAGCGAAGGGAGGAGGAGCCGAGGACAGGGAGGCUUAGUCUGGGAAGGCCUCUCGGAAGAGGGGAGCCUUCAGUAAGGCUGUGAAGGGGAGGGGGGAAGAGGGACCGUUUGGCGGAUUCGAGAAGGGAGGGCGAUCCAGGCCAGGGGUCGGCGGCGGGACAGGCGAGCUGCAGGCCUCCAGCCGCGGCGAGCCCGGGCCGAGGUCGGGGCUGCCGUCCAGCCCUCCGUCCGUCCGUCCCUCCGUCCAUCCCUCCUUCCUUCCGUCCGUCCGUCCGUCCUCCCUCCCUCCCGGUAACGGGGUUGCUUAGCAACAAGGGGCGGAGGCAGAGGCGGGGGAGAGGAGCGGGGACCCGGCGGCUCUCAGCAUCUCCGGCCCGGGGGCUGCUUUGCUGAUUCACAGAGGCCGUCCGGUCCUGCUCGCCGCCCGCGGCCUCGCCCCCCGCCCCCCCCUCCGCCCGGGACCCCCACGUACCAAGGUAGGACAGCGGGCCGGACGGCGAGGAGGGGCCCGAGGCCCACGGCCGGGGCUGCUCUGCACGAGGCUGCCCCGGACGGACUGUGUAGGUGGAGGUCUGUGCGUGGAUGCAUGGGUGCAUGGAUGCUGUUGUUCAAGUCAACAAAAGCCCGUGAAUCUCAUGGGCGGUACACUGCCCCACAUUCCACCCCCUGCCCUUUCUGCAACUGCCAGCCCCAAAGGACCGUCCCAUCUUUUGUGUUUCGGAGGAUGGAAAAGGACGGCGGCAUCUUAGGUAUAUUUUCCCUCGGGGGU
rnacentral:lncRNA from 1 species